rnacentral:rRNA from 1 species
UACAGAGGUGCGAGCGUUAAUCGGAAUUACUGGGCGGUAAAGCGUGCGUAGACGGUUAUUUAAGUCGGGUGUGAAAAGCCACGGCUCAACCGUGGAGGUUCAUUGGAAACUGGGAGAACUUGAUGAUGCAGAAGAGGAAAGUGGAUUCCAUGGUAGUAGCGGUGAAAUGCGUGAGAGAUAUGGAGGAACACCAGUGGCGAAGGCGAACUUCUGGUCUGUAAC